rnacentral:rRNA from 1 species
GGGGGGAGCAAGCGUUGUUCGGAUUUACUGGGCGUAAAGGGCGCGUAGGCGGCCACUGCAAGUCAGUUGUGAAAUCUCCGGGCUUAACCCGGAAAGGUCAACUGAUACUGCAGGGCUAGAGUGCAGAAGGGGCAACUGGAAUUCUCGGUGUAGCGGUGAAAUGCGUAGAUAUCGAGAGGAACACCUGCGGCGAAGGCGGGUUGCUGGGCUGACACUGACGCUGAUGUGCGAAAGCCAGGGGAGCGAACGGGAUUAGAUACCCCGGUAGUCCUGGCCUUAAACGAUGAAUGCUUGGUGUCUGGGGUUUUAUAGUCCCCGGGUGCCGUCGCUAACGCUUUAAGCAUUCCGCCUGGGGAGUACGGUCGCAAGACUG